AGUGAACGCUGGCGGUAGGCCUAACACAUGCAAGUCGAACGGCAGCACAGUAAGAGCUUGCUCUUACGGGUGGCGAGUGGCGGACGGGUGAGGAAUACAUCGGAAUCUACUUUUUCGUGGGGGAUAACGUAGGGAAACUUACGCUAAUACCGCAUACGACCUACGGGUGAGAGCAGGGGAUCUUCGGACCUUGCGCGUUUGAAUGAGCCGAUGUCGGAUUAGCUAGUUGGCGGGGUAAAGGCCCACCAAGGCGACGAUCCGUAGCUGGUCUGAGAGGAUGAUCAGCCACACUGGAACUGAGACACGGUCCAGACUCCUACGGGAGGCAGCAGUGGGGAAUAUUGGACAAUGGGCGCAAGCCUGAUCCAGCCAUACCGCGUGGGUGAAGAAGGCCUUCGGGUUGUAAAGCCCUUUUGUUGGGAAAGAAAAGCAGCAGGUUAAUACCCCGCUGUUCUGACGGUACCCAAAGAAUAAGCACCGGCUAACUUCGUG
rnacentral:rRNA from 1 species